rnacentral:tRNA from 1 species
ACCUUCGUGAUGUAUUUGGAAAGCAUAUCCGAUUGGCAAUCGGAAGGUACAGGCUCGAAUCCCGGAAAGGGUA